AUGAGGUGACACCGUGACACGGUUGUUGCUGAAGUAGCCACAAAGAGGGGAAGGGGCAGAAGGGCCCCGAAGGAGAAAACUUCAUCAACGAACGAAGCCAACAAUCAACAUCUUAGUCUCAGCCACACCAAUUCCGCCCUCAUCUGAUAAGAAUUGCUUGAGAUGCGUCUUGAGAAGGAGAAGACUGAAGAGCUCGAAAACCGUGGGCGUGAGCAAGAGAAGCUUCAGACUGAGCUGAAACAGUUGAAGGAUUUUAAACCUACCAUGCUAUUGAGAAAUGUUAUAACUUUAGUGGGGAUUGGGUCCGGGUUACACUAAUGAAAGCUGUGACCUCAUUGUUUUUCUUCGUACCCCAUUGCCCGGAGGCUCUUCGCUAUGCGAACAUUGUAUCUCAUCAAAAUUGCUUGAAGAAUGGGAGGCCUGAUAGAGAGUUUCUGUAUUGGAGGUGGGCUCCAAGAGAUUGUGAUUUGCCUCAGCUUGAUCCAGAAAGGUUUCUCUACAUGAUGUGGAGCAAAGCCUGGGCACUCGUUGGUGAUUCCAUUUCACUCAACAAUGUGCAAUCGCUGCUCUGCAUUCUUGCCAAGAUCUUGUUUUUUUGGUUCCAAUGCCAAAUGCUGGAGGUUGGUUUAUUUACUUUGAACAAUAAAAUCAAGGAUCUGUUGCUGUUCAAGUGAGAAAGGUGGAACAACUUGUCUCAUUCUACCAUGACGAGGAAUACAAGUGCAAAAGCUGGCGUUUUCCCUCAUACAACUUCAGUAUGUCACUUAUUUGGUCACCAUUCCUUGUGGAAGCUGCUAUUUUUGAAGACGAAAAUGGUGUUUCGAGUUCUGAAGUUGAGCUACAUCUUGACAAACUGGAUAGUAAAUGGACGGAUCAGUACCUUGACUUUGAUUACAUUAGUUUUUCAAUCGGGAAAUGGUUUCUCAAAUCUGCAAUCUACUAUGAGAAUGACACCAUAUUGGGCUGCCACUCCUGUCCUAAGAAGAACCUGACAGAGCUGGGGUUUAACUUUGCUUAUUGCAAUGCCUUGAAAUUAGUAAUGAACUUCAUAGUGUCUUCGAAUCACAAAGGGAUUUUUUUACGGACAUUCACACCUGAUCAUUUUGAAAAUAUGGAGUGGCUUAAUGGGGGAACUUGUAAGAGAACGACACCAAUUAAAGGUGAGAUGGAAAUGAAAUAUUUGAGAAAGAUGCUCCGUGACGUUGAGUUGGAUGAGGUUGGAAAGGCAGCUACUGAAGCUUAAAAAAAUGGGGUGAGUUUAAAGCUUGUGGAUGUUGCUCCAUUUUCACUAUUGAGACCUGAUGGGCAUCCUAGUCCAUACAGGCAAUUUCACCCAUUUGAAAAGGACCAAAAUGCUUCUAAAGUUCAGAAUGAUUGUUUGCAUUGGUGCUUACCUGGGCCAAUAGACUCUUGGAAUGAUAUAAUAAUGGAUAUGGUUGUCGAUGGGUAAGGAAAAAAAAAAUCAGUUAAAAGCCCCGUACAGUUGUGAAUAUUGAGUGCAUCGUUACUCUGUAUACUAUGUGUGAUCUUGACAUUCAUAUUUAUACAGAAGGACAAUGGAAAUUGGAGGCAGAUAAAUAGAAUGUAUAAACUAUUUUUUCUUCAAUAAAUAAUAAGUUAUCCUCGAGAUAUGGUUCAGAAUUCA